AGAUCCGCUUCCCACGAAAAGAAGAUAAGGUCUGGUAGCCUCUCCCUCGUCGAUCCCUUCUCUCUUCCUCAUCACAACCAACUAAGAAAAAUACGGUCCCGUCCGAUGGCAGCAUCUGUUACGAUCCUCAGUCUCGUCGGAUCGUUCAAAAGCCUCUCCCUAUCUUCGAUCUCAUCAUCUUCCCAUUUCAAAGGGGAUAUUGGGUCCGUCAUCGUGGCCCGUCCCAAUACGUCCGUCUCUUUUCCUACAAAAUUCCCACUAACCAUAGAAUCCGCCCAUAAGAAAGGGGCCGGAAGUACAAAGAACGGUCGGGAUUCUCCGGGCCAGAGGCUCGGCGUCAAGAUCUACGGCGAUCAGGUCGCCAAGCCCGGUGCCAUUAUCGUCCGGCAGCGUGGGACCAAGUUUCACCCUGGAAAGAAUGUUGGACUAGGAAAGGACCACACUAUCUUCUCCCUGAUCGACGGAUUGGUGAAGUUCGAGAAAUUCGGUCCAGACAGGAAAAAGAUAAGUGUUUAUCCACGCGAAGUACAGCCCGAUAAUCCAAACAGUUACAAGGCGAGGAAGAGGGAGGCCUUCCGCCUCCAACGCGAGCGCCGAAAAGCAAGAAAGGAAGGCAUUCCUGCUCCCCAACUGGUAUUGGCAUCGGCAGAGGAAGUCUCUGAAAGCAAUCCCAUUUGCUGAUGAAUUUUCUCCGCGAAUUUAAUUUCAAAGUAUGUCACUUAGCUGAUGGAACGGAGUCUGCUCUUGGUGGCAAAGCUUCCAUCAAAGCCACCACUUCUCUUCCAUCGUCAUGGAGAGGGACGAUACUUGGUUGUACGUUUGGAUGGAAUGGUUGGUUAGUGUUUGUAUGCUUCCCUUGCAGCACAUCUUGAUGCAAUGUUUCGUUAUUCUUUGGUACUUGAAGGUAGCCCCAAGACAAGGGUCUAUUAGACAAGGAACACGAACAUCGAGUUUCUAUAUGGGCUUCUUUUACAUGCUGAUUGGGUUGAUUGUCAUCUUAAUCUAGUCUUUUAUGAAUGCACCAAAUACAUUGAAGUUGAUUGUCAUCCUGUGUAUGAGAAGGUGAUAAACAAGGAAAUUGUGACUCCAUGUGCUAGCUAGUGACCAGCUUGUGGAUUUGCUUGGACUCCAAAAUCAAUGGUUCUGAUUUUUUAUU